AUUUAAAUAGCUUAUAAGAAGAGUGUAAUAUUGAAGAUAUUAAGGAGAUUAUUAAUCUUUAAAUA
rnacentral:tRNA from 1 species